GCGGCUUUUUAAGUCGGAUGUGAAAUCCCUGAGCUUAACUUAGGAAUUGCAUUCGAUACUGGGAAGCUAGAGUAUGGGAGAGGAUGGUAGAAUUCCAGGUGUAGCGGUGAAAUGCGUAGAGAUCUGGAGGAAUACCGAUGGCGAAGGCAGCCAUCUGGCCUAAUACUGACGCUGAGGUACGAAAGCAUGGGGAGCAAACAGGAUUAGAUACCCUGGUAGUCCAUGCCGUAAACGAUGUCUACUAGCCGUUGGGGCCUUUGAGGCUUUAGUGGCGCAGCUAACGCGAUAAGUAGACCGCCUGGGGAGUACGGUCGCAAGACUAAAACUCAAAUGAAUUGACGGGGGCCCGCACAAGCGGUGGAGCAUGUGGUUUAAUUCGAUGCAACGCGAAGAACCUUACCAAGGCUUGACAUACACCGGAAACGGCCAGAGAUGGUCGCCCCCUUGUGGUCGGUGUACAGGUGGUGCAUGGUUGUCGUCAGCUCGUGUCGUGAGAUGUUGGGUUAAGUCCCGCAACGAGCGCAACCCUUUUCCUUAUUUGCCAGCGGGUUAAGCCGGGAACUUUAAGGAUACUGCCAGUGACAAACUGGAGGAAGGCGGGGACGACGUCAAGUCAUCAUGGCCCUUACGACCAGGGCUACACACGUGCUACAAUGGUCGGUACAAAGGGUUGCUACCUAGCGAUAGGAUGCUAAUCUCAAAAAGCCGAUCGUAGUCCGGAUUGGAGUCUGCAACUCGACUCCAUGAAGUCGGAAUCGCUAGUAAUCGCGGAUCAGAAUGCCGCGGUGAAUACGUUCCCGGGCCUUGUACACACCGCCCGUCACACCAUGGGAGUGGGUUG
rnacentral:rRNA from 1 species